rnacentral:rRNA from 1 species
UCGAGGAUCUUCGUCAAUGGGCGCAAGCCUGAACGAGCGACGCCGCGUGUGCGAUGAAGGCCUUCGGGUUGUAAAGCACUGUCGAGGGGGAUCAAGGCCCGAAAGGGCUUGAGUGAUCCCUGGAGGAAGCACGGGCUAAGUUCGUGCCAGCAGCCGCGGUAAGACGAACCGUGCGAACGUUGUUCGGAAUCACUGGGCUUAAAGGGCGCGUAGGCGGCUCGCGAGGUCGGGGGUGAAAUCCCAUCGCUUAACGAUGGAAGUGCCUUCGAUACCGGCGGGCUGGAGGAAGGUAGGGGUGCGCGGAACUUCUGGUGGAGCGGUGAAAUGCGUUGAUAUCAGAAGGAACGCCGGCGGCGAAAGCGGCGCACUGGACCUUUUCUGACGCUGAGGCGCGAAAGCCAGGGGAGCAAACGG